AGAUGUGACCAGACCAGGAUGAGAAUGAUCUCGUCAGAUCUUGGAAGCUAAGAAGGGCUGGUUUGGCUAGUACUUGGAUGGGAGACUGCUGGGAAUACCUGCCAGCUCCAGCAA
rnacentral:rRNA from 1 species